GGCUCAGGAUGAACGCUAGCGGCAGGCUUAACACAUGCAAGUCGAGGGGUAUAUUUCUUCGGAGAUAGAGACCGGCGCACGGGUGCGUAACGCGUAUGCAAUCUACCUUUUACAGGGGAAUAGCCCAGAGAAAUUUGGAUUAAUGCCCCAUAGUAUAUAUGAAUCGCAUGGUUUAUAUAUUAAAGUUCCAACGGUAAAAGAUGAGCAUGCGUCCCAUUAGUUAGUUGGUAAGGUAACGGCUUACCAAGACAAUGAUGGGUAGGGGUCCUGAGAGGGAGAUCCCCCACACUGGUACUGAGACACGGACCAGACUCCUACGGGAGGCAGCAGUGAGGAAUAUUGGACAAUGGGCGCAAGCCUGAUCCAGCCAUGCCGCGUGCAGGAAGAAGCAUCUAUGGUGUGUAAACCGCUUUUAUACAGGAAGAAACACUCCCUCGUGAGGGAGCUUGACGGUACUGUAAGAAUAAGGACCGGCUAACUCCGUGCCAGCAGCCGCGGUAAUACGGAGGGUCCAAGCGUUAUCCGGAAUCAUUGGGUUUAAAGGGUCCGUAGGCGGUUUAAUAAGUCAGUGGUGAAAUCUGGUCGCUCAACGAUCAAACGGCCAUUGAUACUGUUAGACUUGAAUUAUAAGGAAGUAACUAGAAUAUGUAGUGUAGCGGUGAAAUGCUUAGAUAUUACAUGGAAUACCAAUUGCGAAGGCAGGUUACUACUUAUGGAUUGACGCUGAUGGACGAAAGCGUGGGGAGCGAACAGGAUUAGAUACCCUGGUAGUCCACGCCGUAAACGAUGGAUACUAGCUGUUGGGCGCAAGUUCAGUGGCUAAGCGAAAGUGAUAAGUAUCCCACCUGGGGAGUACGUUCGCAAGAAUGAAACUCAAAGGAAUUGACGGGGGCC
rnacentral:rRNA from 1 species